rnacentral:rRNA from 1 species
UGGGGAAUAUUGCACAAUGGGCGAAAGCCUGAUGCAGCAACGCCGCGUGAGUGAUGAAGGCCUUCGGGUUGUAAAGCUCUGUCUUCUGGGACGAUAAUGACGGUACCAGAGGAGGAAGCCACGGCUAACUACGUGCCAGCAGCCGCGGUAAUACGUAGGUGGCAAGCGUUGUCCGGAUUUACUGGGCGUAAAGGAUGCGUAGGCGGAUACUUAAGUCAGAUGUGAAAAUCCCGGGCUUAACUUGGGAACUGCAUUUGAAACUGGGUAUCUAGAGUGCGGGAGAGGAAAGUGGAAUUCCUAGUGUAGCGGUGAAAUGCGUAGAGAUUAGGAAGAACACCAGUGGCGAAGGCGACUUUCUGAACCGUAACUGACGCUGAGGCAUGAAAGCGUGGGGAGCAAACA